rnacentral:rRNA from 1 species
UACGGAGGGAGCUAGCGUUGUUCGGAAUUACUGGGCGUAAAGGGCGCGUAGGCGGUGUGUCAAGUCAGGCGUGAAAGCCCCGGGCUCAACCUGGGAACCGCGCUUGAGACUGGCACGCUAGAGUUCGGGAGAGGAUGGUGGAAUUCCCAGUGUAGAGGUGAAAUUCGUAGAUAUUGGGAAGAACACCGAUGGCGAAGGCAGCCAUCUGGACCGACACUGACGCUGAGGCGCGGAAAGCGUGGGGAGCAAACAGG